rnacentral:lncRNA from 1 species
AUUACAGUAACUUGUGUCUGGAGCGCUGUGUGUCUCUAUCCCCAUUACAGUAACUUGUGUCUGGAGCGCUGUGUGUCUCUAUCCCCAUUACAGUAACUUGUGUCUGGAGCGCUGUGUGUCUCUAUCCCCAUUACAGUAACUUGUGUCUGAAGUGGGACCUUAUUCCCUAUAUAGUGCACUACAUUUGACCAGGCACUGCAUCUCAGUACAAAAGGCAUCACUACAGUCCCUAGUUCGAAUCCAGGCUAUAUCACAUCCGGCCAUGAUUGGGAGUCCCAUAGGGAGGCGCACAAUUGUCCCAGCGUCGUCCGGGUUUGGCCCGGGGCAGGCCGUCAUUGUAAAUAAUAAUUUGUUCUUGACUGACUUACCUUGUUAAAUAAAGGUUAAAUAAAAUUAAAUAUAUAGGGCUCUGGUCAUAAAAUAGGGCUCUAUGUUAAGAAUAGGGUUCCAUUCCGGACACCUCCUCUGUGUCCCUGCCUGCCUGCUUGCUGUGGUGCUAGAGCCAUAAAAAGGCAUCACUCUCUCUCUUCUCUCGCUCUUCCUCUGUGAGGUUUUCCCUCUUUAUUGGACAGUGCAGGAGCUGAACCACAAAACCAAUUUUAGUCACAUUCUCAAUUGACGGGGCCCAAUUUGUCUCCCCUCAGGGCAUUGGGAUCCGCUCCAGUGUCCCUCAAAGCCUCUUUUUUUAGAAAAAAAGAGGGAAUUGUAGUGUUCUUUUUUCGUUAACAAUUGCACAUAUUGAGAUCCAUCAGUUCAUGUGAUUCAAAGGCAGGCUGUGCAUUGCGUUCUGGGAAAGAUGGCAGUGACAUCAUGGGUCUGUAACAAUGUAAUUGUUUAUCGAGUGCCUUUAACGAAGCUUCCAAAUGAUUCCAAUAUCUACAGGAUAGAAAAAAAGCACACGGAAAAGCUAUCUUAUAUAAGGGAACCGUACAUUUUUGAAGGAGUUGUGCUAAUGAAAAUACUAGUACAAAUGUACAACCUACUCUAAGGUGCUACAGUGAAAGCUGUCUUGGGCAUGUGCCUGCUUUGUGUCCAUUGGUCUGUGACGCACUGGCUAUUGUUGAUCAUUUGAUCAACAUUCAUUUACUACAGUGGCUCAUCCCAUUGGGUUGUGCUUUUCACAACCAAGAGAAAACGGGCACAUUGUGAACUACGUAGUCUACAUAGUGAGCUGCCAUCAUAGCCACCGUAACACAGGCAAUGCAAUCGGAGAAAAUAUAACCAUUCGACAAUCUGUUGUCCCGUAAAACAUUCAACCCACAUGUCUUCCAUCCAAUAACAAGUCAAUGAUCAAAUUUACUGUACCAAUCUACCAACACCAGAGCUACUCAGCUGCUCACUGUCCCCAAACACCUCUCUCUUUCCUCUUUUCACUCACCCUGUCACUUCCCCUCAUCUUUUGCGUUAACUUUCCGAGUACAGAAAACUUUGAGAUCACAAGAUAUAUGCGCAAAGUCACCCACUUUACAAUUCCAACAGACAAACAAACCCAAAACGUCUGUACCCUUUUCACACCAGUGACAACAACCGUCUACAUUUCUGCACGUCUCUCUGGGUAAUAACAUUGUUUUUGCUGCGUAUUUUUCUUUCCUGCCACGCGUGAGCAGGCUAGCUGCUACAGUAUGAGGUAUCCAGAUCUUAAGCUAGACCGUCGGUCGGGUCGACGUUUGCUCCUCAACCUCUAUGGUGUUCAAACUGUACCUGAAACUAUGUGCUCUACAUCAUAGAUCACUCUUACAGCUGCUACUUUAAGAGACAGACUAAGGAAGAAACCUUUGAUUAACCGCAGGAAUCUGACCGCAAUCUCCUUUGAUCACAAAGAUCAACACUCUACACAUAUUGUUACCGUCUAAGAUUCAAUAGCAAUGACAUACAAGGAAAAUUAGGUUACAAAUAGAAAUGACAAAAAGCACACAACAGAACCGUAUGCGCUCCAAAUUGCUACCUGAGAUUCAAGAAAGACAAAACAUUGAAGUGAGGAGAGGUUUCCCUCGAUCGGGUAAGAGCGAUAUCGGUGAGGUCAUUACGUCGUUGAAAUGGCAGUAUCAAGACUGACUGAACUCCUCUCUUAUUCUACGCUAGUUGUAGCACAAUGGCCUGGUAAAAUGUCUGUUAGAAAUGUACAGUGAUUCUCACUACGUUUUAGGGAGCUGCAGUUAAAGAUCUAGCUAGCUAGCCUAUGUGUCAGAACAAACCAGCCAGAGAGGGUCAUUAGCUCCUGUUGCCAGGCAGAAGUUGUUGAGGCGCUGUGUUGUGCACCUCCACCUGUUACUAAUUGGAGGCAUGUUCUACUACAUCCGCUGACACGCACACACACACACACACACACACACACACACACACACACACACACACACACACACACACACAUACUCACUAUUGCCAGACAUUUCUGAGUAUUACACACACACACACACACACACACACACACACACACACACACAGUGUUUCAGUCAGUGUGUUAGUCUUCUCAUUAUCUCUUCGUCAGAGUAAGGUUAUCACUGAGAGACUAAACCUAUGUUCUCCAUUGCUUACCAUCAUAGAGUCUCAGUUACCUUGGCUCUAUGGGGCCAACUUCCACGUAAGUAAAAUGUUCACUUUCUCUCCCAUUGACAUCAAUGCAUCACUAACUUAAACACUGACUUUAGUGGAAGUUAGGAUUCGCCCCUAUGUCUUUGGUAUCUACAGAACAGCAGUGUUCAGUUUCAGUCUACAGUAUCUAUCCAGGCUGGGCUACAAAGCUGCUUCAGUUCACUGCCUUUUUUUACACCGUCCACUUCUCCAAUCCGUCCCAUGCUGUGUCUGUCUCACUGCCUCCGUCCAGAUAUCAAGCCAGUCAGUCAUAUCUAUCUACCAUAUUUCUAUCAAGUCCUAGGAACAUAUUCACCACAAUGGCAUUCCAAGUUGUUCAAUGUCAUACCCCAUUGUCAUAGGCUUCUUGUGAUUUCCCCCAUUGUGACUAGACAGUGGUUUAGAGAAGACUGGCCCUGUGUCCAAAAUGGACCCUAUUUUUAUAUAGGGGAUACUGUGUCCUAUAUUGGCACCCUAUUCCCCAUACAGUGCACAACUGGACUGUAUUAUGACAGACGGUGCCUCAGAGUUGGGCCUCCCACAGUGAAGUGUGACAGGAGAGCUCCGGGCUCGAUAUAACUCAACACUCUUUCAGCUCUUACCACCACGUUAUUCAGUGGGGAAAUUGCUCAAAAAAAAAAAAUGUGGCCCACGCUUUUUAAUUGAUGCUCCGGUUCACCUUUGACGGGAGGCAUCGAUUGGCCACACAUCCCCAGGAGCUCAGCCAACUGGCUAACCUAACACACACCUUCCUCAAAAUGAAAUGGCUCCCAGAGACGUCAAACACUAUUGAGUAACUAUCAUUGGAAAUGGCCAACCAAAUUUGCUAAAGAAACCUCCAGAACUUUCAUUAAGCGUCAGGAUUAUUAUACAAUAUAAAAAAAAGAGGAAUAUUUAUUAGGACAGCAAAGCGGUUCUUAGAUAUUUUUUGUUUAGUUCUGUUUUUUGUUGUUUUUCUAUUUUUGCUUUUCUUUGGGUCAGUGCGGAGGAUGUGGUCAUGCCUUAUGCACGCCACUCAGUGUGUGUGAUCCUUGAUAAAUAUCUGUACAUCUGUGGAUGUUAGGAUUAAACUUCGGUUUUAAUGAGUUGUUUUUUUCUCUGAUGAAGCUUUCAAUAAAAAAAUUAGGAAAAAAUCGCGAAUGUGCCUCGUUAUUUGACUCUAAUGUCUCAAUCUUUGUAACUGCAAAACAUGGUCUGCAAAACAGUACUCAUUUUAGUGCAAGUGGUAGACACCAUAUUGUCAACUACUAACUCUACCCCAUCUCCUGUAAUAAAACACCACCCCACCCAUACCAAUACACCUGCCUCUUAGCCCCAAUACUAGUAUUCCAUAUAUAAUUGUGUGCAAUGCAGUGGGGUCCAGUUGAAGUAUUAAAUACAUUACCUACAUCUAAAUUACUUCCAUCUAAUUUUUUUAUUGUAUUUUUAUUUAACCUUUAUUUAACUAGGUAAGUCAGUUAAGAAC